ensembl:lncRNA
CAGAGAUGUUUCUCACUAAGAGGGAAAGUGGCUAAGCUCCACAUGUCCAUUGAGCCAACUGACUCCAUUAGUAAAAGAACUACAUUUGAUGAUUCUGUGUGACAGGACAGCCAAAAUCACAGUGGCUUAAACAUUGUAGAAUGUAGCUUUACCUUUCACUACAGAAGGCAAGAACGAGGUUGCCUGAGGUUGGGAUGCCAACUCCUCCAAGUCCUCAGGGACUCAGGGUGUUUCAGAGCUGCUCUGUGGGCUCAAGAGACCUCGUUCCCAGAGUGCAAUUCGGCUGUUGAAGCUCCUAUGCUCAUGAAGUCUUUAGCAGCAGCAUGGAGAAAGGGAGGUACAAAAGGCACAUUCCAACUAUAUAUAUAUACAUAUAUAUAUAUUUGGUACCGGGGAUCGAACUUGGGUCCUUGCGCUUGCGCAGCAGGCGGCAAAACCACUGAGCUAAACCCCCCGGCCCCCUCCAACUGUAUUUUAAUGUGGUUUACUUGAAACUGCCAGCCAACACUGCUUUUUACAGCUUACUGAGAUCCAGUAGGAGGCCAUAGGAAAGUUUGGCUUUACAGAAAUGUGGAAAGUUUCCCUUCCAAGAGCACUGGAGCAAGCAGACACCACACAGAGAUGAAGCAGGUGAGCAUAAUAUAAAUAGGAGCACCCUUGUGAAUGUAGCAUUCCAGCCCCUCACACAAUCUUCAACAAUUAAGGAAUGGGAAGAAGUAUGUAGAGUAUGAAUUGAGCCAUACCAAGAAUAAGUGACUUACCCAAGGUCACACACCAAUAGCUGGUGGAACUGGAACUUGCUCCAUUUUUUUCAGAUUCUAAAUUCAUUUACUCCAGCAUUCAACAAUCACUAAAGAAUGCAGGGUUGGCACUGUGCUGUCUUUUGGAAUAUAAGAAACAAUAGGACACAGUCCCUGCCUUGGUAAAGCUUACAGUCUAGGGUGGGGAAGAUAGUCAAGUAAACAAGAAACAGUAAUACAGGCUUGGCUAUGGUUUAUUAAGGAAAUUACCGGGAAUGAUGGGAUCACUUGAGGGACCCCAGCCCAGGGGCACAGAGGCAGUGAU